GACAGAGGGUGCGAACGUUGCUCGGAAUUACUGGGCGUAAAGCGCGUGUAGGCGGGCAUGCAAGUCAGGCGUGAAAGCCCUGGGCUCAACCCAGGAAUUGCACCUGAAACUGCGUGUCUUGAGUAUUGGAGAGGGAAGCGGAAUUCCUGGUGUAGAGGUGAAAUUCGUAGAUAUCAGGAGGAACGCCGGUGGGGAAGGAGGCUUCCGGGACAAUUAAUGGCGAUGAGACGCGAAAGCGUGGGGAGAAAACAGG
rnacentral:rRNA from 1 species